rnacentral:lncRNA from 8 species
CAACCCCCGUCAACCCAACUGUUAUGCGGAGGGGAACAGGGAAACCCAAGAGCAGACUCAGACGAGGAGACUGGGAUGAAGUAACCAAGGUAUUUAUUGCAACACAGGGGAAGAUGGUGUGCAGGCCAGGGGAAGCUCGGGCGGGUUGCAGGAAACCGGGUGCAGAGGCUGAGGCUGGAGCGAGAGGGGUUGGGACAGGGUAAGCAGGCCCGGAGGGGAAUCCAAGGGAGUAGUAGAGUGGGGAAUCCAGGGCAGAGUAGCAGGAUGAGGAGACAUGGGACUGGAGACAGGAACCAGAGCGGGCAGAACUGUAGCGGAGAGGAAAACCGUAUCAGGCAAGGAAAACAGGCACAACAGGAUCUAAAUAGUAACAAACGGCUAGAACCGUAGACUGACUGAGCAGAGAUUACGAUCUGGCAGUGUGGAAGUGGCAGGACUGAGUAUUUGCAGAGGUCUUGAUUAUGGAACAGGUUGCAGCUGGUGGGGGAUCUGCUCUAACUCAGCACACCUGUCUCCACCCACACAAUCACACACACACACACAGAGAGGGAGAGAGCACUGGGGGAGUUGCGGCAGGUCAAGGAGACACAGGAUGAGCAGUAGAGGGCGUGGCAGGAGCAGCUGUAACACCAACACUGGGUUGACCCUUCCCACCGCCCGCAACCACAUGGAUAUCCAAAGGGUGGUGCGAUUAGCCCAACGCCCCGUUGGGGGCAUACUGCCUGCCUUCCAGGACAUCUACAGAUACCGGUGUCACAAGAAGGCCAAGAAUAUCAUCAAGGACCUCAGCCACUUGAACUACGGCCUGUUCAUCCUCCUACCAGUCGGAGACAGUACAGAUGCGUCAAAGCUGGGACUGAGAGACUGAUAAACAGCGUCUAUCUCCAGACCAUCACACUGUUAAACAGUCAUCACUAUCCGGCCUCCGCUCAGUACUCUACCCUGCACCUUAGAGACUGCUGUCCAAUGUACAGAGAGUCAUUAAACACUGGUCACUUUAAUAAUGGUUACCCACUUAAUAUGUUUAAACUGUAUUCUAGUCAUGGCUCAUCCUAUAUACAGUGCCAAGUAUUCAUGAACUAAGACUUAUUCCAUAUUUUGUUGUGUACAGCCUGAAUUCAAAAUGGACUAAAUAUCUAUAUUUUUUCUCACAAACAGUACCCCAUAAUGACAAGGUGAAAACAUGUUUUUAGAAAUGUUUGCUAAUUGAUUGAAAAUUAAAUGCAGAAAGUAGGUAACUAUUCACACCCCUGAGUCAAUACUUUGUAGAAGCACCUUUGGCUGUGAUUACAGCUUUGAGUCAUCUUGGGUAUGUCUGUAUAAACUCUACACACCUGGAUUUGGGGAUUACUCAAGCUCUGUUAAGUUACAUGGGGAGUGGCAGGGAACAGCAAUCUUCAAGUCUUUCCACAGAUUUUCAAUGAGAUUCAAGUCUGGGUUUUGGCUGGGCCACACAGGGACAUUUUAGUUCUGAAGACAUUCCAGCGUUGCUUUGGCUGUAAGCUUCAAGAUUGUUUUGAUCAUGCAGACUGGGAUAUGUUCAGAGAAGCUUCAGAAAACAAUAUCUACACAUAUACCAAUACGGCGAAUGAGUUUAUCAGGAAGUGCAUAGGAGUUGUUGUACCCACUGUGACUAUUAAAACCUACCCCAACCAGAUAGAUGGAUAGAUGGGAGCUUUCGAGCAAAACUGAAAGUGUGAACCACCGCAUUUAACCAGGGCAAAAAGACUGGGAAUAUGGAAGAAUACAAACAGUGUAGUUAUUCCCUCCGCAAAGCAAUCAAGCGGGCUAAACGUCGAUAUAGGGAUAAAGUUGAGUCCCAGUUCAACGGCUCAGACACGAGACUGUACAGUGAGGGAAAAAAGUAUUUGAUCCCCUGCUGAUUUUUUACGUUUGCCCACUGACAAAGAAAUGAUCAGUCUAUAAUUUUAAUGGUAGGUUUAUUUGAACAGUGAGAGACAGAAUAACAACAAAAAAAUCCAGAAAAACACAUGUCAAAAAUGUUAUAAAAUUAUUUGCAAUCACGGAUUAGAAAAGGAAAACCAGCCACAUCGCAGACACUGAUGUCUUGCUUCCGGACAAGCUGAACACCUUCUUCACUCGCUUUGAGGAUAAUACAGUGCCACCGACGUACUUUAAGACAGUCAAUUCGGAAAAUGUCAAGAAUUUUGAAAGUUGCUUCAAGUGCAGUCGCAAAAACCAUCAAGCCCAAAUAAAUGCUUCACAGAGUUCAAGUAACAGACACAUCUCAACAUCAACUGUUCAGAGGAGACUGCGUGAAUCAGGCCUUCAUGGUCAAAUUGCUGCAAAGACACCACUACUAAAGGAUACCAAUAAGAGAAAGAGACUUGCUUGGACCAUGAAACAAGAGCAAUGGACAUUAGACCGGUGGAAAUCUGUGCUUUGGUCUGAUGAGUCCAAAUUUGAGACACAGAGUAGGUGAACGGAUGAUCUCUGCAUGUGUGGUUCCCACCGUGAAGCAUGGAGGAGGAGGAGUGAUGGUGUGGGGGUGCUUUGCCCUGUCAGUGAUUUAUUUACAAUUCAAAGCACACUUAAACAGCAUGGCUACCACAGCAUUCUGCAGCAAUACGCAAUCCCAUCCGGUUUGCGCUUAGUGGGACUAUCAUUUGUUUUUCAACACAACAGUGACGCAACACACCUGCAAGCUGUGUAAGGACUAUUUGACCAAAAAGGAGAGUGAUGGAGUGCUGCAUCAGAUGACCUGGCCUCCACAAUCAACCGACCUUAACCCAAUUGGGAUGAGUUGGACCGCAGAGGGAAGGAAAAGCAGCCAACAAAUACUCAGCGUAUGUGGGAACUCCUUCAAGACUGUUGGAAAAGCAUUCCAGGUGAAGCUGUUUGAGAGAAUGUCAAGAGUGUGCAAAGCUGUCAUUAAGGCAAAGGGUGGCUACUUUGAAGAAUCUCAAAUAUAAAAUAUAUUUUGAUUUGUUUAACACUUUUUUGGUUACUACAUGAUUCCAUAUGUGUUAUUUCAUAGUGCUGAUGUCUUAACUAUUAUUCUACAAUGUAGAAAAUAGUAAAAAUAAAGAGAAACACUUGAAUGAGUAGGUGUGUCCAAACCUUUGACUGGUGCUGUACUUUAUGCCUCAUCACAAUUAUAUCUCGGAGAUCUAUGGACAGUUCUUUGGACUUCAUGGUACAGUUUCUGCUCUGACAUGCACUUUCAACUGUGGGACUUUAUAAAAACAGGUGUGUUUAUUUCCAAAUCAUGUCCAAACAAUUGAAUUGGCCACAGGUGGACUCCAAUCAAGAUGUAGUGACAAGGAAAUUAGAUGCACCUGAGCUCAAUAUGGAGUGUCAUAGCAAACAGGUGUGAAUACUUAUGUAAAUUAGAUAUUUAUGUAUUUUUUCUUCACAUACUGUCUACACACACCAUUCACAUAUAUACACUGAGUGUACAAAACAUUAGCAACACCUUCCUAAUAUUGCCCUCAGAAUAGUCUCAAUUCGUUGGGGCAUGCACUCUACAAGGUGUCGAAAGCGUUCCACAGGGAUGCUGGCCCAUGUUGACAUCAAUGCUUUGCACAGUUGUGUCAAGCCGUCUGGAUGUCCUUUGGGUGGUGGACCAUUCUUGAUACACACAGGAAACUGUUGAGUGUGAAAAACCCAGCCGCAUUGCUGUUCUUGACACACUCAAACCAGGGCGCCUGGCACCUACUACCAUACUCCAUUCAAAGGCACUUCAAUCUUUUGUCUUGCCCAUUCACCCUCUGAAUGGCACACAUACACAGUCGAUGUCUCAAUUGUAUCAAGGCUUAAAAAUGAUUCUUUAUCCUGUCUCUUCCCAUUCAUCUACACUGAUUGAAGUGGCGACAGGUGACAUCAAUAAGGGAUCAUAGCUUUUACCUGGAU